UGUAGCUCAGUAGAGUGCUUGCCUAGGAAGCAUGAAGCCCUGGGUUCAAUCCCCAGCA
rnacentral:tRNA from 1 species